rnacentral:lncRNA from 1 species
UGACUAAACCUGUUCACCACCUCCUGUGAAGACGUCCUGUUCUCACACAUUGAGUUUUUUCAAUGUAGUGAACAAGGAGCCUAUAUGACAACCUGGAGGAUUAUUAUGAUGCUUAUUUACGCCGCUGCAGUCAGCAGCAAAGAAGCAGAGAUUCUUCCCGUGAACCUCGGAGAGAAUGUUUGCAUGCCAUGUCAUGGACCUGCAAAAGCACAAAUCGUGUUGGUGGAGUGGACCAGACCAGACCUGGAGUCACCUGAGUAUGUAUUUUUCUUCCGGGAUGAGCGAUCCUACACGUCCUACCAGCACUGGUCCUUUGUGGGUCGGGUGGAGCUGAAGGAUAAAGAGAUGAAGAAUGGAGACGUGUCCCUAAUUCUGAGCAGCGUGAGAAUCAGUGACGUCGGUGUGUAUGAGUGUCGGAUCUCACAAGGAAAGACAAGGUCAAAGAGAGCCAACAUCAAGAUGGAGCCGAUCCAAGUCAUCAGCCUGAAGGUGGAGGAGGAAGGCGCUAAAACCAACGUCUGGCACAUCGGAGCUGCGGCGAGUCUCAUCCUGUCUGCUGUGGUCGUGAUACUUGUUGCUGUGAUCUUCAAAAAACGGAGGACAGGGCUCUGCAGGAUCACGGAUCCACCUCAACACAGAGACAAACCACAGCAUUUCAUCGUGUCCACACAGACGCAUCAGCACUAACUCCACAGUCUGAUCUCACCUGAGACACUGAUGCUGAUGAUAGAUCCAAACUUGGACUCGCACCAGUAAACUCCACUGUCCUGUGGGUCCAAGUCGAGGAUGGUGCAUGUAGAACCUCCCCACUC